rnacentral:ncRNA from 1 species
CAACCUCUGACGAUAGUCGUGCAUGUUG